GAUAUGGGAUCGGCAAGAGAAAUGGGCGUUAUUGCUUGGUCUGCAGUCGUUUUCUCUUCACUUGGUUAUUGUAUCUAAGCCUGAUGUUCACAAUGAUUCUACUGAUCUGCUCCGAAGAAUCCAUGUUGGCCUUGCCAAACAAUAGGAAAAAGGAAUCCAUGCUGACAGUUGUACUAUGAUCUUCUCCAGCAUUUCAUGCAGCUGAUUUCUUUUUUGUAUUUUUGGUUCUGGUGAAAGCUAGUAGUGCAUGUCAUGAGUUUCAUCCUUUUCAUGGAUCUCCAUCUGAUCUAGCAGUACUAAUUUUGUAGUGGUAGCUCUUGAAAUAGAGGAUACUGAUCACUAAACAAUUGCCUGUGCAAUUUCGCUAGUCGAGUACCCGUGGAGUGUAUAGAAUUUUUUGCUGUAGAGAUUGCUAGAUGCUGGUCGUCACACCUAUUCAAAUUUGUGCACAUUUAGACCUGUUCCAAAUGAAAGUUUUUUAGGGAAAUGUUCCAAAUGAAACUGAUCCCACCAGUAAUGGCAUUGAGUGGUCUUUCGCACGUGAAGUUUUGGCAGGGGGAGUUUGGAAUCCCUGCUCGAGAUCCCGUGAUCGCGGGAUGAAAAGGAUAGAAUCCUCUGCAUUUUGGUUCAAACAAAUGGAACAGAAGGAAAUAUGAAGCAAGUUUCCUUUGAUCUCUAUUUUAAAGGACAAGAAACACGUGAAUUUUACAAUUCACUUGCACCUCCUUUUCAAAUUACUACGCAUUUAGAGUUAUUGAUUUACGCAUCACACAUGAACUACUCCCUCCAUUUCACAAUGUAGUGCUUCCUCUAUCCACGUGCUUUAAUUUUGACCGUAAAUUUAACUACCAAGACUGAUUGCGGUGGGAGCAAAAAUUAUAUCAGUGAAUUCGUACUCGAAAGAAGUUUUCAAUUAUAUAAUUUUUUCUUCUGUUGUAGUUGGUCUCGUUGGUUAAAUUUAUGGUUAAAGUUGGACCUCGGGAAGCGCGGGCGCACUGUAUUUUGGAAUGGAGGGAGUAAUAUUUAUGGGGUUGGAGACUUUGCCAAAGCAUGCACAUCUUAGGCCCUGUUUGGUUCAUAAGUCCUAGGACUUUUUCUAGUCCCAACUAAAAAGUCUCUAGUCCCUAAAAAGUCCCUCCUUGUUUGUUUGCAGAGACUAAAAAGUCACUAGUCUCUUUCUAGAGGUUACUAGAAGAACGCCCGUGCGUUGCAACGGGGCCACAUUAACUUUAAGAGUUCAAUAUUAAUCAUGUUAAUAAUACAUUUAAUAUUCUCAUACAUAUCAAGUGACACUGGCGACCUUUUUUGUCAAUUUAGUAACGGGCUCAGUUGCAACGGGCUCUUUAUACAUAUCAGACAACUCGCUACUACUUAAACUACAACUAUGGCUAUCAAUAUUUUUUUGUCAAUUUAGCUCAGCAAUUGUGCCUGGCUUAAUAGACUGCUUUGCAUUCACCCCCUCAGAAAACAGAGAGAACCAACUCAACAUGUCAAAAGAUUAACAGAAAUUUCAUUUGUAUGACAUGAACAUAUAGCAGGAACACCAACACAUAGAUCAGCAGAGAGCAGAGCACAGCCUGCACACACUCGGGCCAUCUAUAUCAUACACACACAGCAACGCACACACGCAUCACGCUGGCAUACACAUACAGAAAAGCAGGCACACACGCAUCAUGCGCAUUGGCCGGUGGGACGCACGCAGAGCAAGUACGUACGCACAGAGAGCAAGCUAGCAAGCACGCACGCGUCCAACCCCGCCGCUGCAUGCGCUGGCAGAAGGUGAGGCAGCAAGGGAGACUGCACAUUGAAGCUGUCCAUGCAAGGCUGGAGGUGCUGGGCCGGCGACGGCGGUGUCGGGAUGGCUCUUGAUUCGUUCCCGGUGGCGUGGAGCUUGGGGCGGCAACGCGGCGAUAGCUAGUGCUCGGGGAUGGGGGUUUGGGGCGGGGGCAGUCGACCCGAUGGCUGGCGAAGUUAACGGGCUUGGGCGGCUGGAAAUUCGGCGGGUGGCGGCGGCACAGCGCGAGGAUGGGACAGGCGGAAAACCUAGCGGGCGUUCAACUACCAAUACCCACGCCUUUUUUUAGGGGAAUUGCUUGUGAAAAUAACGUGCGACGAUGACUUAGCGAGCGGAUCCCCUUAAAAAAGAUAUAGCGAGCAGAUUCCCUUAAAACUGGUAGGAAUGGAUACGAUUGAUGACGUUGAUAAAUAGUGGUGAAUGUUGGCCUAAUUUACUAUCAUCAUGCAUGGAAAUGAACCAUCAAGAAAAAGAAUACUUCCUAUUACUACACUCAUAGGAAGCUUCCUAAUCUCUGCUACCAAACCGUUUCUGCCCAAACAAGGAAGGAAAGUUAUGGACGUGAUUCGGAAGGAAACAAACGUUAUGAAGAUUAAUUAAUUUAGAUUUGAUCUUUAGAGAUUGAUUAUGAUUGAUUCUUUUACAUAAAGACAUUACUAAAUAAUUUGCGUCAGUAUGGAAAGUUCUGAUCCGUUCAGUUUUUUUCGUUGUGUGAGAGGGUGAAGUGAAAAUAAACCGAUGAAGUGGGGGAGGCGACGAAAAAAAUCUACGAUGGUUAACCUACGAAAAAAAACCGGACGAAAGUGGUGGGACGAAAAAAAACCUGGAAGCGAGACUACCAAGUGGUGGCGAUAGCUAGUGCUCGGGGAUGGGGGUUUGGGGCGGGGGCAGUCGACCCGAUGGCUGGCGAAGUUAACGGGCUCGGGCGGCUGGAAAUUCGGCGGGUGGCGGCGGCACAGCGCGAGGAUGGGACAGGCGGAAAACCUAGCGGGCGUUCAACUACCAAUACCCACGCCUUUUUUUAGGGGAAUUGCUUGUGAAAAUAACGUGUGACGACGACUUAGCGAGCGGAUCCCCUUAAAAAAGACAUAGCGAGCAGAUUCCCUUAAAACUGGUAGGAAUGGAUACGAUUGAUGACGUUGAUAAAUAGUGGUGAAUGUUGGCCUAAUUUAUUAUCAUCAUGCAUGGAAACGAAUCAUCAAAAAAAAAGAAUACUUCCUAUUACUACACUCAUAGGAAGCUUCCUAAUCUCUGCUACCAAACCGUUUCUGCCCAAACAAGGAAGGAAAGUUAUGGACGUGAUUCGGAAGGAAACAAACGUUAUGAAGAUUAAUUAAUUUAGAUUUGAUCUUUAGAAAUUGAUUGUGAUUGAUUCUUUUGCAUAAAGACAUUACUAAAUAAUUUUCGUCAGUAUGGAAAGUUCUGAUCCGUUCAGUUUUUUCGUUGUGUGAGAGGGUGAAGUGAAAAUAAACCGAUGAACUGGGGGAGGCGACGAAAAAAAUCUACGAUGGUUAACCUACGAAAAAAAUCCGGACGAAAGUGGUGGGACGAAAAAAAACCUGAAAGCGAAACUACCAACUGCUCCAUUAAAAGUAGAGAUUAAAUGACCAUAUUGCCCCUAGUAUAUAGAAAAAUAACAAUCAAACAACACCAUAGGGUGGCGGGCCAUUAAAUGCAUGGAGGGGCAUUGUUAGAAAAGUCCCAAAAAGUCCCAAAAAAGACUCUCUUUGAGAGUCUUCUUCAUUUAGUCCCAAAUGUCUAGUUUAGUCCCUAAAAAGUCCCUCCCAUUUGGUAAAAAAGUCUUUAAGAGGGACUUUUUCUAGUCUCUACACAAAGAAGUCCCUGAAAACAAACACCCCCUUAUACUCGGGAAUUCAUUGAUAGUGACUUUUGAACUUCAGGGAAUGUUUAGGGUUUGACUUUGAUUUGACCAUUUUUAUUGGAAUUCAUGUGUUUUUUCCUAUUCCUUUGAACCAGUUCAGGGCCUUUGAUUCAAAGAAAAUCCAUCGAACUAGUCAGUCAACAAAGUUGUCCUGAGCAAAGACGUGCCAGUCUUAAUGUUUAUUCGCAUGCCAUCCUUGGAAGCAAAUCCAGUACUCCCUUCAUUUCACAAUAUAGUGUAAUCAUGCUUUUCAAGAUCUAAAUUUGACCAUAAAUUUAACCAACGAAACUCACUGCAGCGGGGGCAAAAAAUAUACCACUAAAUUCGCAGUCGGUCUCGUUGAUUAAAUGUAUGGUCAAACUUAGUUCUCGAAAAACGGGGAUGCACUACAUUGUGAAAUGAAGGGAAUACUUUUCAUAGAGGCAACGAUUUCGGCAUAUGAAACACCAACAACCCUGAACAUCUCCUUUCUAAGGGUCAGUUCUUUUGGGCGGCUUAAAAAAUAAGCUGCCUUUCCCCAGCUUAAAAAAUAAGCCACUCCCAAAAUUUAUGGAGGCUUCUAGAUUAGUAAUCCCAUAACUAGUUCAGAAGCUCCAAUAAAUAAGGAAGGGGGCUUAUGACAAAAGCUAGGGAGGAGGCGGCUUAAUUUUUAAGCCGCCAAAAGAACUAGCCCUAAAUCAAGAAUGCAAAAGCACUUGAUAUCUCAAAAAUUAUCAGCGGAUGUGAAAAAUCUUAGGGAUGUGGAACUUGUGAGGACGAUUCCAUCUUAAAAAAAGAGGGUUUGAUUGAGCAUCGAGGAACAAAAGAAUUUAGUCUAAAAUACUAAAAAGAAGAUCAGUUUUUUUCAUUCUUCAAGAACUUCAUAUCUUGCUGAGAUCUUCACCCCUAAGAAAAGUUUUCCCAACACGGGAAGGAAGUCCCUUCUAAAUUGGAUUUGUUAUUGUAAGGGGAUUUUUAAGUAUUUAUCUAAAAGAAGGAACAAACGAGAAUAAGAGAAACUUGUUACAUUAAUCCUCUCAUACCUACUAAUUGGUGUACUUGAGAUGUAUUUCCUCUGGCUCCUGAAAAAGACAUUAGAUAGACUGGAUUAGAAGGAUCCGUUAUCCGAAAAUUUGAAUUUAUUUCUUGUUUCAAAUAUUCACUUGUCGCAUACCAUAUCUCAAUAGAUUGGCAUAAUUUUUCUACCGCGUGUACAUCCCCAUAAUAAUAGUGUUUCUUCAAAAGAAAACUCUGUUGUUCCGCGUCUUGGACUGAGGCAAUCCUUCUCUUCUCACUUCAAGAUUGAUCAUCUCGAGCUAUCCGUUGAGGGUGGAAAUUUAAGAAUAAAUAUGUAAGAUCAAUGACUUAGGACUUAGAUGUGCAAUACUUAUGCACAUCUAGAUGUGCUUUAGCAAAACUGAAUUUUGAUAUGGGUUGCAAACGUCAUUAGCCAUUUGCAGGCGACAUGUGUCAUGUUAAUUCUGUUGGGUUUUGUCCUGGUCACCACGAAAUCACUAAUUAAGGAGUACUCAUUGCAAAGAACACUCCACUUUCCCAGGUCGCGACAAGUGGCGCACAUGUAGCGCGCCACUUGUCGCAACCAGGGAGUUUUCCUUUUUUUCAUAGAUUCGUUUAUUCAAAACGUUUUAUCUCUUAAACCGUGCAUCCAAAUCUCGAACCGUUUUCACCACUGGAUUCCUCGCGUCGAGAUCUUCAAAACUAGAUCUCAUGUUGAUAGGUUUUGACGAACUUUUUUUUAACGAAAAAAUCAGACGAAAAAAACCGGGUGAAAAAACCGAACAGGGAGCACGGUUUUUUCCCUUUCCAAAAGAGGCACGCCCGUGCCUCUCGCGAAAUCACAACCGUGCCUCUCGUGAAAACAAAACCGUGACUCUCGUGGAAGAAGAAAAAACAGAAAACAUGUUUUUUUCGUUUCCGAGAGGCACGACCGUGACUCUCGCGAAGGCACAACCGUGCCUCUCGCGAAAGCAAAACCGUGACUCUCGGGAAAGAAAAAAAGCAGAAAACACGUAUUUUUCCCUUUCCUAGAGGCACGGCCGUGACUUUCACGAAAGCACAACCGUGCCUCUCGCGGAAGCAAAACCGUGACUCUCACGAAAAAAAACAGAAAAUGUGUUUUGUUUUUCCCUUUCCUAGAGGCACGGUCGUGACUUUCACGAAAGCACAACCGUGCCUCUCACAGAAGCAAAACCGUGACUCUCACGAAAGAAAAAAAACAGAAAACACGUUUUGUUUUUCCCUUUUCCGAGAGGCACGGCCGUGACUCUUGCAAAAGCACAACCGUGCCUCUCGCGGAAGCAAAACCGUGACUCUCACGAAAAAAAAA
rnacentral:lncRNA from 1 species